GGGUUGUGAGGUUAAGCGACUAAGCGUACACGGUGGAUGCCCUGGCAGUCAGAGGCGAUGAAGGGCGUGCUAAUCUGCGAUAAGCGCCGGUAAGGUGAUAUGAACCGUUAUAACCGGCGAUACCCGAAUGGGGAAACCCAGUGUGACUCGUCACACUAUCAUUAACUGAAUCCAUAGGUUAAUGAGGCGAACCGGGGGAACUGAAACAUCUAAGUACCCCGAGGAAAAGAAAUCAACCGAGAUUCCCCCAGUAGCGGCGAGCGAACGGGGAGGAGCCCAGAGCCUGAAUCAGCAUGUGUGUUAGUGGAAGCGUCUGGAAAGGCGCGCGAUACAGGGUGACAGCCCCGUACACAAAAGCGCAUGUGCUGUGAGCUCGAUGAGUAGGGCGGGACACGUGGUAUCCUGU
rnacentral:rRNA from 1 species